rnacentral:rRNA from 1 species
GCGAACGCUGGCGGCAGGCUUAACCCCUGCCAGUCGAGCGGGCACUUUCGGGUGUCAGCGGCGGACGGGUGAGUAACGCGUGGGAACGUGCCCUCUGGUUCGGAAUAACUCAGGGAAACUUGAGCUAAUACCGGAUACGCCCUUUUGGGGAAAGGCUUGCUGCCGGAGGAUCGGCCCGCGUCUGAUUAGCUAGUUGGUGAGGUAACGGCUCACCAAGGCGACGAUCAGUAGCUGGUCUGAGAGGAUGAUCAGCCACACUGGGACUGAGACACGGCCCAGACUCCUACGGGAGGCAGCAGUGGGGAAUAUUGGACAAUGGGCGCAAGCCUGAUCCAGCCAUGCCGCGUGAGUGAUGAAGGCCUUAGGGUUGUAAAGCUCUUUUAUCCGGGACGAUAAUGACGGUACCGGAGGAAUAAGCCCCGGCUAACUUCGUG